rnacentral:rRNA from 1 species
AGGACGAACGCUGGCGGCGUGCCUAACACAUGCAAGUGGAGCGACGAACCGGGGCUUGCCCCGGGGCAGAGCCGCGAACGGGUGAGUAACACGUGGGUUACCUGCCCCGAUGACUGGGACAACCCGUCGAAAGACGGGCUAAUACCGGAUGUGCCCCUUGGGGGAAAGGAAGCUUCGGCCUCCGCAUCGGGAUGGGCCCGCGGCGCAUUAGCUUGUUGGUGGGGUAAUGGCUUACCAAGGCGACGAUGCGUAGCUGGUCUGAGAGGACGAUCAGCCACACUGGGACUGAGACACGGCCCAGACUCCUACGGGAGGCAGCAGUGGGGAAUCUUGCACAAUGCGCGAAAGCGUGACGCAGCAACGCCGCGUGGGGGAAGACGGCUUUCGGGUUGUAAACCCCUUUCAGGAGGGACGAAGCCAGAGCGGUUAAUAGCCGACUCGGUGACGGUACCUCCAGAAGAACGCCCGGCUAACUACGUGCCAGCAGUCGC